UCGGAUUAUUGGGCGUAAGAGCUCGUAGGCGGUUUGUCGCGUCUGCCGUGAAAGUCCGGGGCUCAACUCCGGAUCUGCGGUGGGUACGGGCAGACUAGAGUGAUGUAGGGGAGACUGGAAUUCCUGGUGUAGCGGUGAAAUGCGCAGAUAUCAGGAGGAACACCGAUGGCGAAGGCAGGUCUCUGGGCAUUAACUGACGCUGAGGAGCGAAAGCAUGGGGAGCGAACAGGAUUAGAUACCCUGGUAGUCCAUGCCGUAAACGUUGGGCACUAGGUGUGGGGGACAUUCCACGUUUUCCGCGCCGUAGCUAACGCAUUAAGUGCCCCGCCUGGGGAGUACGGCCGCAAGGCUAAAACUCAAAGGAAUUGACGGGGGCCCGCACAAGCGGCGGAGCAUGCGGAUUAAUUCGAUGCAACGCGAAGAACCUUACCAAGGCUUGACAUGGACCGGACCGCCGCAGAAAUGUGGUUUCCCCUUUGGGGCCGGUUCACAGGUGGUGCAUGGUUGUCGUCAGCUCGUGUCGUGAGAUGUUGGGUUAAGUCCCGCAACGAGCGCAACCCUCGUUCUAUGUUGCCAGCGCGUUAUGGCGGGGACUCAUAGGAGACUGCCGGGGUCAACUCGGAGGAAGGUGGGGACGACGUCAAAUCAUCAUGCCCCUUAUGUCUUGGGCUUCACGCAUGCUACAAUGGCCGGUACAAAGGGUUGCGAUACUGUGAGGUGGAGCUAAUCCC
rnacentral:rRNA from 1 species